rnacentral:rRNA from 1 species
AAUAUUGCACAAUGGGCGCAAGCCUGAUGCAGCCAUGCCGCGUGUAUGAAGAAGGCCUUCGGGUUGUAAAGUACUUUCAGCAGUGAGGAAGGCGGAGUCGUUAAUAGCGGCCUCGUUUGACGUUAGCUGCAGAAGAAGCACCGGCUAACUCCGUGCCAGCAGCCGCGGUAAUACGGAGGGUGCGAGCGUUAAUCGGAAUUACUGGGCGUAAAGCGCAUGCAGGUGGUUUGUUAAGUCAGAUGUGAAAGCCCGGGGCUCAACCUCGGAAUUGCAUUUGAAACUGGCAGACUAGAGUACUGUAGAGGGGGUAGAAUUUCAGGUGUAGCGGUGAAAUGCGUAGAGAUCUGAAGGAAUACCGGUGGCGAAGGCGGCCCCCUGGACAGAUACUGACACUCAGAUGCGAAAGCGUGGGGAGCAAACAGGAUUAGAUUCCCUGGUAG